AAGUCACUAACAAAUUGCUAUUUAGGAAAAAAAUCCUAAAGAAAUCAGUCGUAUGCUAUUAAUGAGAGUUAAAAAGCAGUCUUAAGUUCUUGCUUUUUGUGUAAAUGAUCGGAAGUUUUAUCUUAUAUUGAAAAUUCUAAAGCCAUUAGAAUAUUCGCUCAUUUUAUAUAUCAAUGGCCCAGUUGUAAUAGUCAGUCGAAUAGUUAAUUGAAUAAACUACUUUAGAUCUACAUGCGCAAUAAGUUUUAAGUUUGGGGUUUUUACUGAACAUUUUUCAUCCCCAACAACGGUUCAUAUAUUGAAACAAUAGUGCGUCAGACAAUUCGCAAUUUUUUUUUUCUAAAAACAGUAUAUUCUCUACUUUUCAGUCAGUUAAUAUAUUCCGGAACAAAGUCAUAUUCUUCUUAAAACUUAUUCAUACUAGUGCUGCUUGUGUAAAAAAAGAAUCAAAUACAAAACAUGUUACUUGACAGAUCCUCUAUAAUAGAAUAUGGAAACGAAAUAGAAAUGAGAAUGAUUGAAGUUCAAGCUUAAA